UACUAAGAUUCUGUAGUCACAAUUUUUUUUUUACUAGGAAAGUAUCAUAUAAUACGCUGAUGAUUCAUGUAUAUAUGUAUAUUUGUGUGUGUACACACACGUCUAAUGAAGUGAUUCAAUGGACUAAUUUGCCAGUUGCCAUCAGCAGUUCUGUGACAAUGCUCUUAUUGAAAUGCUACAAUAUGUUGAUCCAUUGUUUCAUACAAGGCAAUAGACUCAGAUGUGUUUCUGAUUUAUCAGGCAGAUAUAUACCACAGAAGACCAAUAUGGCCUCAGCUGCAACAGAGUUCUUGAUUGGCAAAAUAGGGGAAGUUGUUGAGAAGGAAGCAUCCUCCAUUGCUGGUGUUCGCGAUCAAGUGGAUGAGAUUAAGCAGGAGCUGAUAAGCAUGAAAUCCUUCCUAGAGGAUGCUGAGGGACAGAAAAUAGAGAGGGAAGGAGAGAAGGAAUGGGUAGCAAGCAUUAGAAACUCUGUUUAUGAUGUUGAAGAUAUUAUUGAUGAAUUCAUGUACCGCAUGCAUGAGCAGCGAAAUGGAGGUCGACUAGCAAGGUGGCUUCGCAAAUGCAUACUAAUUCCAGAGUAUCUUUGGUACAGGCGUCAAAUUGCCAAAAAGCUGCAGAAAAUCACAAAAAUCAUCAGAGAGAUUCCAGAGAGAAAAAAGAGAUAUGGUAUUAGUCAUGUGGAAGGAACAGGUUCGAAAGAUAUUCGCAAUCAAGUGCAGAACCAAGCAGAGUCAUCUCUUUUCAUUACAGAAGAUGAACUUGUAGGAUUUGAAGACAAGAAGAAACUGCUCAGAGGUAAAACAUCAAAUCGUUGUUUCUGUGGUUGGGAUGGGAGGGUCAGGAAAGACAACCCUAGUCGCCAAGAUCUUCACUGAUGAUGCUGUAAAGAAGCAUUUCGAAUGUUAUGCAUGGAUCACUGUAUCACAAUCUUAUGUGAUUGAAGACUUGUUUCGAAGCUUGAUCAAGGGAUUUCACCAAUCAAGGAAGGAAAGUGUCCCCGGAAGGUUGAAUUCCAUGAGCUACAGGGAAUUGCUAGAGAUACUGAUACUGGUGAACUACUUGGAGUUUAAAAGAUAUGUUGUUGUUCUGGAUGAUGUGUGGAAUAUCCAACUUUUGAGAGAAAUAAGGGUAUCACUUCAAGAUAGAUGGCUUGGAAGUCGAGUUCUGCUAACAACUAGAAAAGAUGAUGUAGCAUUCCAUUCUUUUGGAGUUGAAAGCCUUGUUCAUCGCAUUCAACCCUUGGAGAACAAUGACUCCGGGGAGCUCUUCAGCAGAAAGGCAUUCUUAACUUAUCAUAAUAAGUGUUGUUCAAUAGAGCUUGAGCCAUUAGCUUGCGAACUAGUGCCAAAGUGUAAAGGCCUACCUUUGGCUAUCGUGACUCUAGGUGGUCUUAUGUCUUCAAAGAAAUCAUCUACUGAGUGGAGAGAAGUAUGCAACAACUUAACUUGGCAUCUUACAAACGAUCACUAUCUGGAACCGGUGAAGAGCAUUUUGUUGCUUAGUUACAAUGAUUUGCCAUACCGUUGGAAGCAUUGUUUCUUAUAUUGUUCCCUCUUCCCUGAAGAUCAUUUGAUCGGAAGAUACAGGUUUGUUAGAUUGUGGAUAGCUGAAGGUUUUAUUGAACAUGUCAAUGGGGUGACACUAGAAGACCUCGCAGAGAGGUACCUUAUAGAGCUAACAUUUCGCAGCAUGUUGCAAUUUGUAAAGAAGGAUUCUCAAUCUAGAAUCCCAGAACAGUGCAUGAUGCAUGAUCUCAUGAGGGAGAUUGCUCUAUCAACUUCAGAAAGAGAAAAAUUUGGUGUUGUAUUUGAUAGGAGAGGAGUAAUGGAAGAAACAAGAGUUCGCCGUUUGGCGAUUCAUACAACUGAAGGAGACAUUGGAUCAUGCACAGGUAUGUUGCACCUUCGCUCAUUACUUGUGUUUCCUUCUGGCUUACAUUCUCCAAUGUUACCGAAUACAUGGUCUUCUGUGUUCUACUUGUUGAGAGUUCUAGAUUUGGAAUAUGUACCAAUUGAUAAGCUUCCAAACAAUCUAGUGUAUUUGUUCAAUUUAAGAUAUUUGAAUCUUAGAGGAACUCGGAUUAAAAGGCUUCCAAAAUACAUUGGAAGGCUCCACAACCUUCAAACCUUGGACAUCAGUGACACAAACAUAAAGAUACUUCCUAGUGGAAGUUCACAGUUGAUAAACUUGCGCCAUCUGUACAUGGGACAUUUCAAUGAGACUGGAUUUGAGACUUUCAUAUGUGCUCGUGGGAUUAAAGCGUCAUCACAUAUAUCUAUGUUCAAGAAGUUGCAAGAUUUAUUUUUUGUUCAGUCAGAUAAAAACAUGAUCAGACUUCUGAGAAACAUGACCCAACUUAGGAUGCUUGGCAUUACAAAUGUAAAAGAAAGUGAUGAAAUAGAGCUCUGUGCCUCAAUUCAGAAGAUGAAAAUCCUGGUCUGGUUGAAUUUAUCGGUAAGUGAUACCUCGGAGGGAUUUCUUCGAAUUGAUGCACUUUCUUCACCUCCACCAUAUCUUGAGUCCCUUUUGUUACGUGGUAAACUGGAAAUGGUACCAUUUUGGUUUCGCUCAUUACAGUGCCUCACACAUAUAGAUCUGCUAUGGUGUAGACUUGAAGAAGAUUUACUGCUUCACAUUGAGGCGCUUCCGUGUCUGGAACGUAUUCUCCUUGAUAAUACUUACGUUGGGAAAGAGAUGAGUUUCAGUAGAGGCUUUGCAAAGCUCACACAUUUGGAGAUGUUCAAUUUCGGAGUACUGAAUACCAUAAGUGUAGAAAAAGGGGUGAUGCCAAAUCUCCAAUACCUGGGACUUCGAAAUUGCAAAAAAUUGAAGACAUUGCCUCAUGGUCUUGAAAACCUUACUCGUCUUGAAAAAUUGUAUUUGGAGUCUGUUACAAGGAAACUCGUAGAGUCCAUACGAGAAGGAGGUGUAGAUCGUCCAAAGGUACAACAUAUCCAAAUAAUCGACCAUCAUUACAGAACAUCUUCUGGGUUGUCUUACGAAAGCUUGUGCUAGCUAGCUAGCUAGUAUUCUUUCCUCCUUCCCAACUACAAGGUACAUAACUUUUUUCCAUUUUCUUGGAUUAUCUUUCCUAAACUUUAUGAGUAACUGGAAUCAAGCUAGAAAUGUAGUGCAUCGAUCCCUGCCCACAUGAUGAACAGUCAUUGAAUUUUAUUUGGUUGGUUCUCCAGGGAAUAUGAAGAUGUGGA